rnacentral:rRNA from 1 species
CUACGGGGGGCUGCAGUGAGGAAUAUUGGUCAAUGGGCGCAAGCCUGAACCAGCCAUCCCGCGUGAAGGAUGACUGCCCUAUGGGUUGUAAACUUCUUUUAUGUACCAAGAAUGUGUCCUACGUGUAGGAUUUUGACGGUAGUACAUGAAUAAGCAUCGGCUAACUCCGUGCCAGCAGCCGCGGUAAUACGGAGGAUGCGAGCGUUAUCCGGAUUCAUUGGGUUUAAAGGGUGCGUAGGCGGCUUUAUAAGUCAGUGGUGAAAUCCUGCGGCUCAACCGUAGAACUGCCAUUGAUACUGUAGAGCUUGAAUACAGAUGAAGUAGGCGGAAUGAGUAGUGUAGCGGUGAAAUGCUUAGAUAUUACUCAGAACACCGAUUGCGAAGGCAGCUUACUAAACUGAUAUUGACGCUGAUGCACGAAAGCGUGGGGAGCGAACAGGAUUAGAUACCCUCGUAGUC